rnacentral:lncRNA from 1 species
UGGGUUUGUUUUUCUUGAGGUAAGUACAACAAAUUCCUUUAAGUUUUAUGUAAGAAUAUUUCUAUCAUGAUAAAAAUGAUCUUGCGAUGAUUUUAGGAAAAAUAAACAACCAAAAAGCUGCUCUAAAGUAGGAGAAAGAAUGAAACAUAGAAGGUACUCACACCUAAAACUAUAGUUGAGCAUAUUAAAUAUCUUGAGUUUUUGAAGAGUAUUUACUUCGAAAUGUUGGGGAAUUUU